CUAUAGUUGACAGACUCGGGUAAGCAUAUGACAGCCCAGAAAAGACAGAAUUGGCGUUACAAUUGUGUUGGGCGGUUGGAGAGCAUGGUGGGGGUGGUGGGUCGCACAAAGAUGCAGCUAGGGAACUUUUUGAAAGUCUAGAGCUACUUUUGUAUGAAAACCUUUCAUCUAGUCGUCUAGGUCUGAGGCAGGAGUC